GACGAACGCUGGCGGCGUGCUUAACACAUGCAAGUCGAACGGAAAGGCCCUGCUUUUGCGGGGUGCUCGAGUGGCGAACGGGGGAGUAACACGUGAGUAACCUGCCCUUGACUUUGGGAUAACUUCAGGAAACUGGGGCUAAUACCCGGUAGGAGCUCCUGCUGCACGGGGGGGGUUGGAGAGAUUCGGCUGUGGGGGAUGGACUCGCUGCUUAUCAGCUUGUUGGUGGGGUAGUGGCUUACCAAGGCUUUGACGGGUAGGCCGCCUGAGAGCGUGACCGGCCACAUUGGGACUGAGAUACGGACCAGACUCCUACGGGACGCAGCAGGGGGGAACAUUGCAGAAUGGGGCGAAGCCUGAUGCAGCAACCCCGCGUGCGUGAUGACCUCCUACGGGUUGUAAACCGCUUUCGCCUGUGACGAAGCGUGAGUGACGGUAAUGGGUAAAGAAGCACCGGCUAACUACGUG
rnacentral:rRNA from 1 species